AUGCCGCCCACCCCCACCACCCCCGCAGCCACCGGCGCCGGCGCUGCCGCCGCGGUGACGCCGGAGCACGCGCGGCCGCGCCGAAUGGUCCGCUUCAACCCGCGCAGCGACCGCUUCCACACGCUCUCCUUCCACCACGUCGAGUUCUGGUGCGCGGACGCCGCCUCCGCCGCCGGCCGCUUCGCCUUCGCGCUCGGCGCGCCGCUCGCCGCCAGGUCCGACCUCUCCACGGGGAACUCCGUGCACGCCUCCCAGCUGCUCCGCUCGGGCAACCUCGCCUUCCUCUUCACCGCGCCCUACGCCAACGGCUGCGACGCCGCCACCGCCUCCCUGCCCUCCUUCUCCGCCGACGCCGCGCGCCGGUUCUCCGCGGACCACGGGCUCGCGGUGCGCUCCAUAGCGCUGCGCGUCGCGGACGCCGCCGAGGCCUUCCGCGCCAGCGUCGACGGGGGCGCGCGCCCGGCCUUCAGCCCCGUGGACCUCGGCCGCGGCUUCGGCUUUGCGGAGGUCGAGCUCUACGGCGACGUCGUGCUCCGCUUCGUCAGCCAUCCGGACGGCACGGACGUGCCCUUCUUGCCGGGGUUCGAGGGCGUGAGCAACCCGGGUGCCGUGGACUACGGCCUGACACGGUUUGACCACGUCGUCGGCAACGUCCCGGAGCUUGCUUCCGCCGCCGCCUACGUAGCCGGCUUCACGGGUUUCCAUGAGUUCGCCGAGUUCACGACGGAGGACGUGGGCACGGCCGAGAGCGGGCUCAACUCGAUGGUGCUCGCCAACAACUCGGAGGGCGUGCUGCUGCCGCUCAACGAGCCGGUGCACGGCACCAAGCGCCGGAGCCAGAUACAGACGUUCCUGGAACACCACGGCGGCCCGGGUGUGCAGCACAUCGCGGUGGCCAGCAGCGACGUGCUCAGGACGCUCAGGGAGAUGCGUGCGCGCUCCGCCAUGGGCGGCUUCGACUUCCUGCCACCCCCGCUGCCGAAGUACUACGAAGGCGUGCGGCGCAUCGCCGGGGAUGUGCUCUCGGAGGCGCAGAUCAAGGAAUGCCAGGAGCUGGGGGUGCUCGUCGACAGGGACGACCAAGGGGUGUUGCUACAAAUCUUCACAAAGCCAGUGGGGGACAGGCCAACGCUGUUCCUGGAGAUGAUCCAAAGGAUCGGGUGCAUGGAGAAGGACGAGAGAGGGGAAGAGUACCAGAAGGGUGGCUGCGGCGGGUUCGGCAAAGGCAACUUCUCCGAGCUGUUCAAGUCCAUUGAAGAUUACGAGAAGUCCCUUGAAGCCAAGCAAUCUGCUGCAGUUCAGGGAUCAUAG
rnacentral:rRNA from 1 species